rnacentral:ncRNA from 1 species
CGCCGUCUCAAGGGGUGCUGGUAUUACUGGCUGAGAUUAUACCCGAGGAACCUGCAGGUAAUGCUGCCAAGGGAUAUUCUUUAAAGUUGGU